rnacentral:rRNA from 1 species
GAGAUGCCUUGGUGCCUUCGGGAACCGUGAGACAGGUGCUGCAUGGCUGUCGUCAGCUCGUGUUGUGAAAUGUUGGGUUAAGUCCCGCAACGAGCGCAACCCUUAUCCUUUGUUGCCAGCGGUUCGGCCGGGAACUCAAAGGAGACUGCCAGUGAUAAACUGGAGGAAGGUGGGGAUGACGUCAAGUCAUCAUGGCCCUUACGAGUAGGGCUACACACGUGCUACAAUGGCAUAUACAAAGAGAAGCGACCUCGCG